CCACGUUCGGGUGGGCGCUGCCCGCCGCCCCCAACCUCCGCUUCGGGGCCCACAACCGAUCGGUGGCGGUGGAGAACGCGCGGCCGCCAACCGCGGGGAUACACCUGCGUGGCGUUCAACCCGCACGGCCGCACCGCCCGCAGCGUGGAGGUGCGCGUGGAUGAGAGCCGUCUGUCCCUACUGCUGUCGCUGUCCCUGCUGGGCUCCGUCACCGCGCUGGCGGCGGCCGCGUGGGGCGUUUAUUACAUGAAGAGCACCGCCUGUAAGAAGGGAGAGUACAACGUGCGCGACGCCGAGGGCUCCUCCGAGGCCGCCCGCCUACACCGGGGGGACAGCGGGGGGCAGCGGGAGCUGUUCGGGAUCCCCCUCACCCCCACCUGAGGGACGGCGACGCCCCGCGCCCCCCCCGGGGAAGGGGGAGGUGGGGACGCCCCGCCCGAGGGGGGGCGGUGGCGGUGGGUGGCACCGCGCUGUCUGCGAGGAGGUGUGGUGGCUGUCGUCCUUUGUUGUCCCCAAGGAACGGUGUUGGAUGUCAACGUGUUGUCCCCAACAAAUGGUGUUGGAUGUCCUCAAGGAAUGGCGUUGGAUGCCACCGUAUUGUCUCCAAAGAAUGGCAUUGGAUGUCACUGUAUUGUCCACAAUGGAACAUUGUUGGAUGUCCCCAAGGAAUGGCGUUGGAUGUCACCGUAUUGUCUCCAAGGAACGGCGUUGGAUGGCCUCAGUGAAUGGUGUUGGUGUCACCGUAUUGUCCCCAAGGAACAGCGUUGGAUGUCACCAUAUUGUCCCCAAAGAAUGGCAUUGGAUGUCACUGUAUUGUCUCCAAGGAACGGCAUUGGAUGUCACCGUAUUGUCCCCAAAGAAUGGCAUUGGAUGUCAACGUAUUGUCCCCAAGGAACGGUGUUGGAUGUCACCGUAUUGUCCCCAACAAAUGGUGUUGGAUGUCCUCAAGGAAUGGUGUUGGAUGUCACCAUAUUGUCCCCAAGGAACAGUGUUGGAUGUCACCAUAUUGUCCCCAACAAAUGGUGUUGGAUGUCCUCAAGGAAUGGUGUUGGUGUCACCGUAUUGUCUCCAAAGAAUGGCAUUGGAUGUCACCAUAUUAUCCCCAAGGAACGGCGUUGGAUGUCACCAUAUUGUCCCCAAGGAACAUUGUUGGAUGUCCUCAAGGAACAGCAUUGGAUGUCACCGUAUUGUCUCCAAGGAACGGCGUUGGAUGUCCUCAAGGAAUGGUGUUGGUGACACCAUAUUGUCCUCAAGGAACGGCGUGGGAUGUCACUGUGUUGUCCCCAACAAAUGGUGUUGGAUGUCCCCAAGGAACGGCGUUGGAUGUCACCGUAUUGUCCCCAAGGAACGGCGUUGGAUGUCUUUAAUGAAUGGUGUUGGUGACACCAUAUUGUCCCCAAGGAACGGUGUUGUUGGAUGUCCUCAAGGAAUGGUGUUGGUGUCACCGUAUUGUCCCCAAGGAACGGCAUUGGAUGUCACCAUAAUGUCCCCAACAAAUGGUGUUGGAUGUCCCCAAGGAACGGUGUUGGAUGUCACCGUAUUGUCCCCAAGAAACACUGUUGGAUGUCCCCAAGGAACAGCAUUGGAUGUCCCCAAGGAAUGGUGUUGGAUGUCCUCAAGGAAUGGUGUUGGUGACACCAUAUUGUCCCCAAGGAACAUUGUUGGAUGUCCCCAAGGAAUGGCAUUGGAUGUCACCGUAUUGUCCCCAAGGAGCGGUGUUGGAGUCACCAUAUUGUCCCCAAGGAAUGGCACUGGAUGUCACCGUGCUGUCCCCAAGGAAUGGUGUUGGUGUCACCAUAUUGUCCCCAAGGAGCGGUGUUGGUGUCACCGUAUUGUCCCCAAGGAACAGUGUUGGAUGUCACCGUGCUGUCCCCAAGGAAUGGCACUGAAUGGCACCAUAUUAUCCCCAAAGAACAGCGUUGGUGUCACCGUGCUGUCCCCAAGGAAUGAUGUUGGGUGUCACCAUAUUGUCCCCAAGGAGCGGUGUUGGAUGUCCUCAAGGAAUGGUGUUGGUGUCACCGUAUUGUCCCCAAGGAAUGACACUGAAUGUCACCGUAUUGUCCCCAAGGAACGGCGUUGGAUGUCACCGUGCUGUCCCCAAGGAGCAGUGUUGGUGUCACCAUAUUGUCCCCAAGGAAUGGCAUUGGAUGUCACCAUAUUGUCCCCAAGGAACGGUGUUGGUGUCACCGUGCUGUCCCCAAGGAGUGGCAUUGAGUGUCACCAUAUUGUCCCUAAGGAAUGAUGUUGGGUGUCACCAUACUGUCCCCAAGGAGCGGUGUUGGUGUCACCGUAUUUCCCCAAGGAACAGCGUUGGAUGUCACCAUAAUGUCCCCAAGGAAUGACACUGAAUGUCACCAUAUUGUCCCCAAGGAAUGGCGUUGGAUGUCACCAUAUUGUCCCCAAGGAGCAGUGUUGGAUGUCCUCAAGGAAUGGCAUUGGGUGUCACCGUAUUGUCCCCAAGGAACAGCGUUGGAUGUCACCAUACUGUCCCCAAGGAAUGACACUGAAUGUCACUGUAUUGUCCCUAAGGAAUGAUGUUGGGUGUCACCAUGCUGUCCCCAAUGAGCGGUGUUGGUGUCCCCAUACUGUCCCCAAGGAAUGGCGUUGGAUGUCCCAUACUGUCCCCAAGGAAUGACACUGAAUGUCACCAUACUGUCCCCAAGGAGCAGUGUUGGUGUCCCCAUACUGUCCCCAAGGAAUGGUGUUGGUGUCCCCAUACUGUCCCCAAGGAAUGACAAUGAAUGUUCCCCAACUGUCCCCAAGGAAUGGUGUUGGUGUCCCCAUGCUGUCCCCGGAGCAGUGUUG
ensembl:lncRNA